GUCCACGCCCUAAACUAUGAUCACUCGUUGUUGGCGAUACACAGUCAGCGACUAAGGGAAACCAUUAAGUGAUCCACCUGGGAAGUACGACCGCAAGGUUGAAACUCAAAGGAAUUGACGGGGGCCCCGCACAAGCGGAGGAGCAUGUGGUUUAAUUCGAUGAUACGCGAGGAACCUUACCUGGGCUUGAAAGUUAGUGACAUCCCGUGAAAGCGGGACUUCCGCAAGGACACGAAACUAGGUGCUGCAUGGCUGUCGU
rnacentral:rRNA from 1 species